AGGUGUUUGAGAUCUGAGUUGUUCCAGGCUGCUUCCAAAGGCAUCACCUCACCCCGGGGGUGUUUUUUCUCUUGGUCCUGAGUCGAUCUGUGGAGUAAAUGGCACAGAACAGGACAGAGGGAAUGUGCUGAAGGGAGUCCUGGAGGGAACUGUGCUGGCUCCUGGUGUGAGGGAGGAGGUGGCCAAGACUGGGAGGGGAAGUGAUUGAUGGUUGCAUUAGGAGCUGACCUGCCAGGCAAUCACCCCGGGCAUUGAUUUGUCACUGCACCAGCACCAGCAGCUGCCACACCAGGUG